rnacentral:rRNA from 1 species
GCACAACGCGAAGAACCUUACCAAGGCUUGACAUAUACGAGAACGCUCUAGGAAACAGAGAACUCUUUGGACACUCGUAUACAGGUGGUGCAUGGUUGUCGUCAGCUCGUGUCGUGAGAUGUUGGGUUAACGUCCCGCAACGAGCGCAACCCUCGUUCUAUGUUGCCAGCGGUUCGGCCGGGAACUCAUAGGAGACUGCCGGGGUCAACUCGGAGGAGGUGGGGAUGACGUCAAAUCAUCAUGCCCCUUAUGUCUUGGGCUUCACGCAUGCUACAAUGGCCGGUACAAAGGGCUGCAAUGCCGCGAGGUGGAGCUAAUCUCACAAAACCGAUCGUAGUCCGGAUCGCAGUCUGCAACUCGACUGCGUGAAGUCGGAAUCGCUAGUAAUCGCGAAUCAGAAUGUCGCGGUGAAUACGUUCCCGGGUCUUGUACACACCG